rnacentral:rRNA from 1 species
GAUGAACGCUGGCGGCGUGCCUAAUACAUGCAAGUCGAGCGAACGGACGAGAAGCUUGCUUUUCUGAUGUUAGCGGCGGACGGGUGAGUAACACGUGGAUAACCUACCUAUAAGACUGGGAUAACUUCGGGAAACCGGAGCUCAUACCGGAUAAUAUUUUGAACCGCAUUGUUCAAAAGUGAAAGACGGUCUUGCUGUCACUUAUAGAUGGAUCCGCGCUGCAUUAGCUAGUUGGUAAGGUAACGGCUUACCAAGGCAACGAUGCAUAGCCGACCUGAGAGGGUGAUCGGCCACACUGGAACUGAGACACGGUCCAGACUCCUACGGGAGGCAGCAGUAGGGAAUCUUCCGCAAAGGGCGAAAGCCUGACGGAGCAACGCCGCGUGAGUGAUGAAGGUCUUCGGAUCGUAAAACUCUGUUAUUAGGGAAGAACAUAUGUGUAAGUAACUGUGCACAUCUUGACGGUACCUAAUCAGAAAGCCACGGCUAACUACGUG